AAAUGUAUUAUCAUCCUCCCACUCCUAACAAGCUUGAUGAACAACAAUACUCCGAUGACCACGAUCUCCACCACCAUAAUUACGAUGUUUCUAGAGGCGGCGCGACUGGUGGAGGCUCAUCGGCGAUGAUGGGUUUAUUUUUGUCAAAGAGGAUUUAUUGAUACUAGUGAUCAUUUCAUUCUUUAUACUCACUAAUUUUGUUCUUUAUUUAUUGCUAAUUGUAAUUAAUUACAAGGAAAACAAACAAAUUAAACCAAUUGUUUGAUGAGUUAUUGUUCACUGCUUUAAUUAUUGAAAAAGUAAAUUUUCAUUUUUGGGUUAUAAAAAAAUGACUCUAGUGAUACUAUCUUCCUAAUAAUAUUUCAUUUGAACAUAUGUUACCCAGAAUCAAAGUGAAACCACUGCAUUUAAUAUUUAAAAAUCCUUUUUUGUCAAAAAAAUAAAAAAGGGCUAUAUGUUACCAAUUAGUAAAAUAGGAUGUCAUGUUGUGCCAUUUUUUCGUUAGAAUUAUUAAGAACAAGACCUUUUAGCCUGACCCAUUAGACUCUAGCAAUGUGGGUUAGGCUGAAAGAUUUGUGUACAUCAUACCCUCCUUAGACUCAAUCUCGUGGGACUACACUAGGAUUUAUUUAUUUUUUGUAGUAUUUUAGAUUGAUUUUGGUUGAAACAACUUAAUUAAGGAAUAUCAUUAUUGAAUUUUAUUGAGCUUGUUUGGACAAAAAAAAUUCAAAGUAGAUAUAUUCACUUCUAAAGUUUGAGUGGAAUCUAACAAUUAAAUUUUUUGAACCAGUAAAGCAUUGAAAGUGAACUUUGAACAUUAACAUAAGUAUAAAGAUGAAAUCAAAUACUAGCAAUUACUUCACUCGUCUCAUAUUAAUUGUCACAUUUCUCUUUUACACGUCCUUUAAAAAAUAGUAAAUAAAAUGUAUUUCAAUACUAAUUUAUCCUUAACCUUUUCAACGUAAUCAAUAUUAUUUACCUUAAGAAAACAAUUAAUUAUAAGAAUAAAAUGAAAACUAAUAAUUUUAUAAAUUAAUAAAUAUAUUUUUGAUAUAAUAUGUAUAUUUACAAUUAAUAUGAGAGUGUUGGAGAAAAAGUAUGUUUGAAAUUGGAAAGAUGUUUCGUGGACCUUCGUCAAAAUAGUUGGUCCAACAUGUCGUUCCAAAGGAAAAAAGAAUUAUUCCAUACUUUGAAUUUGCAUUAAUAAUAUAUACUCCCUUCCUUCCAAUUUCCUUAAAAUAAUUAUCAUUUUAAAAUACUAAUAACGAAUUGAUUCUUAAUAUUAAUAGGGUGAGCCUUUUUGUAUAAAGUGACCAAUGUGGUGAUAGCUCAAGAAAUAUAUUAGUCAAAUUAUUUUUAAUAUUAAUGUUUUAUUCAAGGGUGUGUAAAAAUUUUGACGAAUAGAAUUAUGAGAAAAAUAUCUAAUUAGACAUACAUCCAUACCAUAUAUAUAUAUUGAUUCUACCUAAACUUUCAAAUAAUGAUACAUAUAACUAUUAAUUAAGAGUUUCCUAUCAUAUAUUAAGGAAGAUACACUUUGAUACAUAUAUUUUGCUAUCAAAUAUACUAAAAUAGGGAUAGAGGCAAACGAGAUGGUGAGGGAGAUAGUUAUAUAUCUCAGAUACAUAUGAGAGCAGCAAACAAGAUAUGAGGGAUGCAAGCGGAAUUUAUCUAUGUAUACCAGGUACGAAUUCACUUGAAUACAAUGUAUCUAUAAUAAAUUACAUAUAAUUUUAACCCGAUGUAUCAAGAGAUGCAUGUAUCUAGACGUAUUUGGACGCACCAAAAAUUGGUAAGAUUUGUAAUAUUGAAAAUUAGAAUGUAGUAUAAUAUUUUUCUUAUGCCCUCCACCCACCCAACCAACCCAUCAAACCUAACCAAUGUGGUCAAGUAUACCAAGAGAAAAAAAAGUUGGACCCAUUCAGCACAAAGAACUUGUAAAAGGAAGUCUCCUGGAAAGAACAGUCAAACCAAAAGAAGAGUAUAAAAGACUGGUAAAGCUCAUUCUAUUUCUCUCAAAUUAAAAUUCAAAUACUACCUUUUUCUCAAGGAAACUAAAAUAGACACAUUUGUGAAUUGAGAAAUGGGAAAAUACGUAGAGCAAUUGGAUGCUGGAAUAAUUAGAAUUGUCACUAUGUUCAAUUCUCAUUGUCCCCGGUCCAAAUAUUGCGAAUAUAUUAUCAUCCUCGUGCUCCUAACAAGCUUCAUGAACACCCAUAUCCAGAUGAUCGCGAACUCAAUCGUCAUAAUUACGGUGUUUCUCGAGGCGGUGCAACUGGUGAGGGCGAGGGCGAGGGCGAGGGCGGCUCAUUGGUGAUGAUGGGGUUAUUUUUGUCAAAGAGGAUUUAUUGACUCUAAUUUUGUUCUUUAUUCAAUGUUAAUUGUAAUUCAUUACAAGGAAAACAAAGAAAUUAAAUCAAUUGUUUGAUGAGUAAUUAAAUAUUGGAAAAGUAAAUUUUCAUUUUUGGGUUAUAAAAAAUGACGACUCCUAAUAUUUCAAUUUAUGGUCACCCAAACCGCCAAACAGUCGUUUGGCCAUUUACUAUUUCAAUUUAUAGUGCUCAUUUCCGAGGCAUAUGAUUCUUAUCACUUAUUUCUCCAUAGAUAAUCUCGACUCAUAUUUUAAAAAUGUUUUUAUGAAUAUUCACAAACGUCUCUAUGUAAAGAAGUUUUUUGUACAAAAAAUUUUACAAUAUACUAGUACCAAGCUCACCAAAAACGAGAAAAAAAAAACAUAAACAACACGAAACAUCUUUAGAUAUAAACCAAUGUUUGAAAUUGGAUUAGAUAUUUAGUGGAAAAGCAAGAAUGAAUAAGUCAACACCGUUGUGAGUUUUAAGGACCUUCAUGUGUAAUAGUCAAAUUUCUUGGUCCAACAUGACGUUUCAAAGGAAAAAUUGAAUUAUUCCAUACUUUUUAAAUUGCAUUAAUAAUCUAAUCUCCCUUCCUUCCAGUUUCCUUGGAAUUUUUAAAUAUAACGAAUUGAUUCUUAAUAUUAAUAGAGUUAGACUUUUUGUAUAAAGUAACUUAAUAACUCAAGGAAUAUAUAUUAGUCAAAUUAAUAUGAUAAGUCUAUCGGAACUUGAGGCACUGUGCCUCGAGGCCCCCCACCCCUACCUUGAGGCACGGUGCCUCGAAGCCCCCCGCCCCGUCCCAACCCCAAGGCACCGUGCCUUGAGGCAUCCCUGCCUCGAGGCACCGGACCCCGAACGAAAAUGACAUGUUAUAACCAGGCGCAACUGUGUCACAAUCCAGAAAUGACGUGAUGACACUUGUCUAUUUCCACUAAGACAAGUCAGCCUCAACCUAACGAACGAUAUGCCAAAAGAUAAAGCAAGAACCUGAAAAACUUAUUCCUUAUGUUAACACUGAAAACUCGGUUGUCACGUGUAUAUGCCUCUAAUACAAAUUCAUGGAAUAUCCAUAGAGAGAUAAACACAAUCAUCCUAGUUCGAGAAAUACGUCACUAACGGUCCUCAAAUCAUGAAUAAAUCUCAUGAGAGAAGAAUCAAGGUAGGAACAUAAUUGUACUCACAAUCUUGAUCAGUAAAAUUAUGUUUCUUCAUAUUUUAUUUGUGAUUGCAAUUUAUUUUUUGUCACUUUAAAGUAAUGUAAUAUGUUGAUGAGAGUCCGAAGAGACUAGUUAAUAGUUUUUCAAAAUACCUAUAUUGUUAGUGGAAGAUAUAAAAAAUUGUAUUUUUUUUUAUUCAAUCGUCAUUAAAAGAAAGAAAAAAAGAGAAGCAAAUAGAGCAUCAUUUUGCAGCUUAAAAACGUUGACUACGUGUAAUAUAUUUUGUUAAUUAAUAGUGCCUUCCACCCACCCAACCAACCAAUCAAACCUACCAAUAUAGUCAAAUAUACAAAGAAAAAAGAAAUGGACUCAUUCAGUCCUUUUAUAAUUAUUAAUCAAAAGAACUUUAGGAAUCAAUUAAUUCAACGUGUAAAAGGAACGCUCAUGGAAACACAAACAAUCAAACAAAAAGAAGACUAUAUAAGACCAAUAAGGCUCAUUCAUUUUUUCUCAAAUUAAACAUAAAUCCUUUAAAAAAAAUUAUCACAGAAAUUAAAAUAGAGUGAUUUUGAAGUUUAAGUGAAUUGAGAAAUGGGGAAGUACGUAGAACUAUUGGAUGCUGGAAUUAGAAUUGCAGCUAGGUUCAAUUCUCACUGUCCCCAAACAUCGCGAAUGUAUUAUCAUCCUCCCACUCCUAGCAAGCUUGAUGAACAACAAUACUCCGAUGACCACGAUCUCCACCACCAUAAUUACGAUGUUUCUAGAGGCGGCACGACUGGUGGAGGCUCAUCUGCGAUGAUGGGUUUAUUUUUGUCAAAGAGGAUUUAUUGACACUAGUGAUCAUUUCAUUCUUUAUACUCACUAAUUUUGUUCUUUAUUUAUUGCUAAUUGUAAUUAAUUACAAGGAAAACAAACAAAUUAAACCAAUUGUUUGAUGAGUUAUUGUUCACUACUUUAAAUAUUGAAAAAGUAAAUUUUUAUUUUUGGGUUAUAAAAAAAAUGACUCUAGUGAUACUAUCUUCCUAAUAUUUCAUUUGAACAUAUGUUACCCACAAUCAAAGUGAAACCACUGCAUUUACUGCUAACAAUCCCGUGAUUUUGCGGAAAAAAAUGAGAGUUCGGAGUCAAAAAGAUCACAUUUUGAAGCUGAAUUUCCACAAAAGACAACGAUUUUGGAGAUUAACCAAAAGGGACAAAGAGUGGAGUCCUGGAGAUAAAUGAAUUCCAUUGAUGGUCACACAAACGAUUUUGGUCAUUUACUUGUAGUUCACAUUCCAACAACUCUAAUAUUUUUAUUUUCUUCUUGUCGUGCGAUGUCACACGACUUACAUUUUCGGGGAAAAAAAUUCUUACUCAACUUACUGAAUACUGCCAUUCAUGUUUUCCUCUCUUUGUCGUGCCACUUCACACGACAAGGCAUAAGAUUCUCAUCACUUUUUUAUUUCAUAGAUAAUCUCAGCUCAUAUUUUAAAAAUAUUUUUAUGCAUAUUCACAAACGUCUAUUAAGUAAAGAAAUUAAAGGCAUACAAGAUUUUAUAUCUUUCCACGAUACAAUAUACUAGUACCAG
rnacentral:lncRNA from 1 species